UCCUACGGGAGGCAGCAGUGGGGAAUAUUGCACAAUGGGCGCAAGCCUGAUGCAGCCAUGCCGCGUGUAUGAAGAAGGCCUUCGGGUUGUAAAGUACUUUCAGCAGUGAGGAAGGUGGUGUCGUUAAUAGCGGCCUCAUUUGACGUUAGCUGCAGAAGAAGCACCGGCUAACUCCGUGCCAGCAGCCGCGGUAAUACGGAGGGUGCGAGCGUUAAUCGGAAUUACUGGGCGUAAAGCGCAUGCAG
rnacentral:rRNA from 1 species